UCGGGAAUUUUGGGCAAUGGGCGAAAGCCUGACCCAGCAACGCCGCGUGAGGGAUGAAGUAUUUCGGUAUGUAAACCUCGAAAGAAUGGGAAGAAUAAAUGACGGUACCAUUUAUAAGCUCCGGCUAACUACGUGCCAGCAGCCGCGGUAAUACGUAGGGAGCAAGCGUUGUUCGGAUUUACUGGGCGUAAAGGGCGCGUAGGCGGCGCGGUAAGUCACUUGUGAAAUCUCUGAGCUUAACUCAGAACGGCCAAGUGAUACUGCUGUGCUAGAGUGCGGAAGAGGCAACCGGAAUUCUUGGUGUAGCGGUGAAAUGCGUAGAUAUCAAGAGGAACACCUGAGGCGAAGGCGGGUUGCUGAGCCGACACUGACGCUGAUGCGCGAAAGCCAGGGGA
rnacentral:rRNA from 1 species